rnacentral:rRNA from 1 species
UACGUAGGGUGCAAGCGUUGUCCGGAAUUAUUGGGCGUAAAGAGCUCGUAGGCGGUUUGUCGCGUCGAAUGUGAAAACCCGGGACUCAACCCCGGGCCUGCAUUCGAUACGGGCAGACUAGAGUACAGAAGGGGCAACUGGAAUUCUCGGUGUAGCGGUGAAAUGCGUAGAUAUCUGGAGGAACACCGGUGGCGAAGGCGGCAUCCUGGACCGGCAUUGACGCUGAGGCGCGAAAGCCAGGGGAGCAAACGGG